rnacentral:tRNA from 1 species
GCGAAGGUGAGCGUGGAUGCGACGACCACGCCACCAGCGGACUCUUAAUCCGCGGGUUCGGGGUUCGAGUCCCUGGCGGCGCA